ensembl:misc_RNA Telomerase-vert Vertebrate telomerase RNA
CCGGCUACGGAGUGUCUCUUCUAACCCUAAAUACGGACGCCCUCCUGUACUCAACGUUUGCUGUUUUUUUCUGGCUUUUCAGUGAACUACGGGAGGGGCUGACGCGACGCUGGGAACGUUUACGAACGACAACCAAAAAAAAGCCAAGAUGACCACUCCGUCGUGUUCAGUGUCCCGCCUGAAACACCGCGAAUUUCCUGCCGUGGUCGGCUUGUGCUGCCGCGAAGAGUUCGUCUCUGUUGCUCCGGUGUUCUCAUGGCGGGACUUGUGAUAACUGAGCAGAGUAAAACUGAGCAGGGCGACUCUCCCAGAUCGUUCCAGUGAUCCGGUCAGAAAGCCCCGGCUCAAACACCC